rnacentral:rRNA from 1 species
UACGUAGGGUGCGAGCGUUGUCCGGAAUUAUUGGGCGUAAAGAGCUCGUAGGCGGUGUGUCACGUCGGCCGUGAAAACCUGGGGCUUAACUCUGGGCGUGCGGUCGAUACGGGCAUCACUAGAGUUCGGCAGGGGAGACUGGAAUUCCUGGUGUAGCGGUGAAAUGCGCAGAUAUCAGGAGGAACACCGGUGGCGAAGGCGGGUCUCUGGGCCGAUACUGACGCUGAGGAGCGAAAGCAUGGGUAGCGAGCAGG